GGCCCUACGGGGCGCAGCAGUCGCGAAAACUCUGCAAUACACGAAAGUGUGACAGGGCUAUCCCGAGUGCCAUCCGAUGAGGAAGGCUUUUACCCAGUCUAGAACGCUGGGGGAAUAAGGAGAGGGCAAGUCUGGUGUCAGCCGCCGCGGUAAUACCAGCUCUCCGAGUAGUGUGGAUGUUUAUUGGGCCUAAAGCAUCCGUAGCUGGCUAAGUUAGUCCCCUGUUAAAUCCAACGAAUUAAUCGUUGGAUCGCGGGGGAUACUGCUUGGCUAGGGGACGAGAGAGGCAGACGGUAUUUCCGGGGUAGGGGUGAAAUCCUAUAAUCCCGGGAAGACCACCAGUGGCGAAGGCUGUCUGCUAGAACGCGCCCGACGGUGAGGGAUGAAAGCUGGGGGAGCGAACCGGAUUAGAUACCCGGGUAGUCCCAGCUGUAAACGAUGCAGGCUAGGUGUUUGGACGGCCACGUGCCGUUCUAGUGCCGCAGGGAAGCUGUUAAGCCUGCCGCCUGGGGAGUACGAUCGCAAGAUUGAAACUUAAAGGAAUUGGCGGGGGAGCACCACAAGGGGUGAAGCUUGCGGUUUAAUUGGAGUCAACGCCGGAAAACUCAC
rnacentral:rRNA from 1 species